UCUUCCUUUCUUUGGGCCUGGGAUCAUUGGGAUGCUUGCCCCGCCCUUCCAGCUUGAUGGGGUCCAGAGUGAUGGGCUACCUGACCACAGCCUGGCACCUCUCAAACUGAGCCACAGUGGCCUUCUCCUCCUCAUAGGUGGACUUAUUGCCGAGAUUUGUCACAGGAAUAGAAGUCUGGCAAAGGAAGGUCAGACACAUGGGAAAACAGAAGCAGAGCACAGAGCAUGUGAACAGAUGUGGAAGCUGAAAACCCAUGACAGGUGGCCCCAUCCAAACUACCUCUUAAGAGCCUCCUUGGCCGGCAGGCGGCAUUCUGGGGGAACUUGCGAAAGAAGAAAGGGUGACAUGUGAAAAGGGGAACCAGAGAAGGCUCCGUCAGGCUCCUGCAGACUUUGCCCUUCAAAGGUCCUACCUCCCCUCUGCUGGAUGGCAAGGCAGACCCAGACUACAGCAUGAGGAUGGACAGAAGGAGGACCCCUCCUCUAGAAGGAGGACUCUUAUGCUGGGAACCAGGACAGUCCUCCCGAGUUUCCCCAGGGCACCAGAGAGUCCCCUGUGAUAUUAUACUAGAGCUGCUGGAAGGUACGGGCCAUAUGACUCUUGAUCUCCACACGGGACACGAUACCAUGGCAACCAGACCUGAACAACAGCAGGUGGCAAGCUCCAUGGAUGGCAUGGAAUGCGUACUCUCUGGAGGCCUCUGCACUGGAUCUAAUGUCUUCCACCACAAGGCUUUUCCUAGAGCUGAGCUGAUACCAGCACCAGGCCCUAAACUCCAGAACUCUGAGAGCUAAAUGAACCUCUUCUCUUCAUACAUUAACCAGCUUCAGUUAUGUCAUUAUAGUAAAGGAAAUUGGACCUGUG